rnacentral:misc_RNA from 1 species
GUUCUUCUUCACUUUGUGCUAUUAGGUUUACAUAUUUACCAAAUCAAUUAUGGCUUUUCUCAUAUGAUAAUUAGAAUAUUAAAUCAGACGAAGCCUCCAUUAAUUUAUUGCAGGAUAUUAAUGGAUGCAUAAAUUAUGUUAUCAUGUCUUUUCUUGCUGCCUUCCUUCCCUUCUUCUAUUUUGCUGGUUGCAUACUAUAAUAAAUUUGAUUCUUGUUAUGGGUGCACUAAUCAAUCAUUCAAUCACAAGGCUUAUUAUUUCUAUUUGGCAUGAAACAAAUAUAACAAAUGUCCAGUUGUCCACUAUCUACAUUUGUUUGGAAAUUGUUAUUAUGUUGAAGAAUGGCAUCACUAGUCAUUUUAUAAUUAAAACAUAUAAAUUAGUCCAGCCUGUAUUGCAUCUACUGCAUGUUAGAAGAGGUUAUGUCUAGACAAUUUGUACAAUUUUCUUUAUAGUCCAUUUGGAGCCAAUUUUAAACAAGUUCUUCCAAGAAAUCUAGGUCUGGG